GUUGGUUCCAAGGUAGAGCAUCUGCUUGGCAUGCAGAAGUUCCCAGGUUCAAUCCCUAGCAUUUCCA
rnacentral:tRNA from 1 species